rnacentral:tRNA from 1 species
AGGUCCGUAGCUCAAUUGGUAGAGCACCGGUCUCCAAAACCGGGGGUUGCAGG